UGGUCCCAGCCUUGAAAUCAAUUAUUACUCAAUAUACACAUGCAAGUUUCCGCACCCCCGUGAAAACGCCCUUUAAUCCCCUUUAGGGAGAAGGAGCUGGUAUCAGGCACAAAAAUUUGCCCAAGACACCUAGCUACGCCACACCCACAAGGGAAUUCAGCAGUGAUUAACAUUGAAUAUAAGCAACAGCUCGAUUCAGUCAGAGUAAAGCAGAGCCGGCUAAUCUGGUGCCAGCCGCCGCGGUUACACCACGUGGCUCAAAUUGAUCCCUAUCGGCGUAAAGCGUGAUUAAAGUCUUCAUAAACUUGAGGUUAAACUAAAAUUAGGCCGUGACACGCUUGUGACUAAGAAACCCAAAACGAAAGUUACCCCAAUUAAAUCAACUUGAAUUCACGACAGCUGGGGCACAAACUGGGAUUAGAUACCCCACUAUGCCUAGCCGUAAACUUUAAAUUACACCUACAUCGCCUGAGAACUACGAGCAAAGCUUAAAACUCAAAGGACUUGACGGUACCCCAUAUCCCCCUAGAGGAGCCUGUCCUAUAAUCGAUAACCCCCGUUUAACCUCACCAUUUUUAGCUAAUCAGCCUGUAUACCUCCGUCGCCAGCUUACCACGUGAGCGAAAUUUAGUGAGCUUAAUGCUUUUACACCAACACGUCAGGUCAAGGUGCAGCAAAUGAAAUGGAAAGAGAUGGGCUACACUUUCUAAUGUAGAAAACACGAAAGACUUUAUGAAACCUAGUCUGAAGGCGGAUUUAGCAGUAAAGAGAAAUCAGAAUGUUCUCUUUAACUCGGCACUGGGGUGUGUACACACCGCCCGUCACCCUCUUCAUAAGCCAAAUUUAAGUACUUAACUAACUAACGCGCAAUAGAAGAGGCAAGUCGUAACAUGGUAAGUAUACCGGAAGGUGUGCUUGGCAAA
rnacentral:ncRNA from 1 species